UUCAAUUUCGAUUGAAACGUUGGGUUCCUUCUGUUCUUCCGGUACCACAAUGAAACCCUAGCUUAUCCAUGCUCCGUUGUCCCCAUCUGCUUGAGCUCCGAUUUCUCCCUCGAUUCCCCCAUUCUUUUCUCUGGGCCAAGUACUCGUCUUCUUCGUCUGCUGACAUGGCCGAAACUGACCCCGCAUUCGAGUUCUCCACCGCUUGUAGCUCCGCUUCCUUCGGAGGAGCUUUUCCAAAGAAGCCCCAUUCCUUCCAGUGCGAUGGUUUCUUCCGAGCUGAUCCGAAGGAUUACAGGAUUUCGAGAUUGAGAAAUUGUCAUGAGCUGGCGAGACAUGGAAGGUUGAAGGAGACUGGAAUCGUAUUGAGGCAAAUAGUCGAGAAAGAAGGAACUGGCUCUGCUUCUUCACUUUGUGAAUUGCUGUGGAAGGUCUUCCAGAACUUUGAUUGUAACUUCAUAGUGUGGGAUAUGCUUGCCAAUGCUUACGCUCGAUCAAAAAUGGCACACGAUGCUCUCUUUGUCCUCAGAAGAAUGGAUACUCUGAACAUCCAGGCUUCAAUAUCAACGUAUGACAAUUUGCUUCAUAGCUUGCAGAACAGUGAUAUGGUUUGUGACAUCUAUGAAGAAAUCAAAUUUCGGGGGAUUUCAUUUAGUGAAUUCACUGACUGUAUCUUCAUAGGAGCUCUCAUCAGGCUAAAGAAGUUGCAAGAAGCAUAUUCUUUCUUCCAAGAGCUUAGGGAGAGGAAAGAGUUUACCCCUUGCAUUGUUUUCUUCAAUUCUCUGAUUUCCGGAUUCUGUAAAGCAGGGUUUCUAGAAAUUUCAAUGUCAUUUCUUUCCAUGGCGCUUAGAUAUGGGUUGAUUCCUGAUAGAUAUAGUUAUGCUCCCAUCAUUCAUGGUUUAUGCUUGAAGGGAUCUUUGAAAGAGGCUUUAGAAGUUUCAGAGAGAAUGGAGAGGGAUGGAAUUGAUCAUGACAUUGUGACAUAUAACAUUCUGAUGAAUGGGUUCCGCUUACUGGGGUAUAUGAGUGAGGCCUAUAGGCUCAUCCAUAGGCUGGUUGUUAGAGGUCUCAAACUUGAUCUUGUUACAUACACUAUUCUAAUUUCCGGACAUUGUGAGCAGGAUAAUCUCGAGUUUGGAUUGAGGAUGAGGAAGUAUAUGAUGGAGCAUGGAAUUCAGUUGAAUAUUAUUGCCUAUAGCGUGCUUCUAAGUUCUUUGUGCAAAAAGGGUUGUAUCAAAGAAAUGGAAAUGUUAUUUGAUGAGAUGGAAGACAUUGGAUUGAAUAUUGAUUUAGUAGCAUAUUCAAUCCUCAUUAAUGGAUAUUGUAGGCUAGGACAUAUUGAUAAAGCCCUUCAAGCAUGUGAAGUAAUGCACUCAAAAAACUUAAGUCCCAACUCAUUCAUUCAUGGGGCAUUUCUUUCAAGCCUAUGCAAGAAAGGAAUGAUAGCAGAAGCUAGGAGGUAUCUGGAUAAUUUAUGUAGUUGUGGCCUGUUUGUCGAUGUCAUUUUGUACAACAUAGUGAUUGAUGGAUAUGUUAAGGAAGAUGAUUUUAACGGUGCUAUUGAGUUGUAUGAAUGGAUGCUCAAACAGGGAAUAACUCCAAAUAUUGUAACUUGUAAUUCCCUUCUCUUAGGCUUCUGCAAGAUUGGUCAACUACAUGCUGCAAGGCAUUUUCUUGGAGCUUUUGUGCGUAAUGGAGUGGCACCUACUAUAGUGACUUACACCACUUUAAUGGAUGCAUUUAGUGAAUCUGGGUAUUUUGAAGUUAUGUCAGAGUUGCUUGAUGAGAUGAUUGGAAAAUCUAUUACACCUAAUAUUGUCACAUAUAGUGUAGUUAUGAAAGGGCUAUGCAAGAAUGGUAGGCUAGAUGAGGCUGUUAAACUUCUCAAGGAUAUGAAUGAAAUUGGUUUAGGGGCAGAUGGUAUUACUUAUAAUACUCUUAUACAGGGUUUUUGUGAAGUUUCUAACCUGAAGAUGGCUUUUCAUGUUCUUAGGGAAAUGAUGGAGCAUGAUGUUUCACCCACUCCUGUUACUUAUAAUUUGCUUAUCAAUGUGCUUUGUUUGAAAGGAAAACUUGAAAGUGCAGAACUUUUUCUGGAUAAUUUGUUAGCGAGGGGAGUCCAUUUGCGGAUGUUUGCUUAUAGCACAGUAAUUAAAGCACAAUGUGUGAUGGGAAUGCCAAAAAAAGCUAUUCUUCUCUUUGAAAGAAUGCUAAGAGCGGGGUAUGAAGUUUCAAUCAACGAUUAUUGUGCAGCAAUUAAUAGACUAUGUAAAAGAAAUUAUGUUGAUGAGGCAAUUAUAUUCUUUAACAUGAUGCUGCAGGCGGGUAUCUUGCCAGAUCAGGAGCUUUCUUUUGUCAUGCUCAAUGCUCUUCUAAAAAAAUAUUACCUCUUUUCAUUCUUUACAUUGCAAACAAUGAUGACAAAACUUGGUCUUCGCGUCCCUCACACCAUAGGAGGAAAAAUUUGAAGGGGUAAUUUGAUUUCAAGUAAGGUUUGGGAAAUAGCCAAUCUCCACAAGUGGCUUACUAGGCGUCCUCAAUUGAAUCUAUUUAUGGAGCAUAAAAAGAUUUACUUACUUCACUCAGGAUGCAACUUAUCCGAGUAUCCAAUCGCAAGUUAUCUGAAGUUGAAGAAAAUUUGUGGUGAAGAACAUAUAACUCGAGAGUGGGCUAAAUCUGAGAAUUUCUAGGUUUUACCGAGAGAUGUUGAUACAACACAAGCUGGUAAUGGUCGUUUUACAGAUAUUGAAGAAGUUUCGACAGGAAAGUUAAAGCAAUCAAUGCCUUCAUCUUCAAAAGGAGAUAUUUAACAAAGGAGUGUCUGCUGUUGAUCACAAUCUUCGGAGUAUAUUAUUAUGAUGACAGAUAGUGUCAGACAAGUUGCCAACUCAUUCCAAAGCACAAUAAGAGAUUUUGAGGAAAGAAAAAUGCUUACAAAACUUUUGGCGAAAUUCUUCGUGGAAGAGAUGGACAAAAUAUAUUAUGAUGAUUUGUCAAAGAAUUCUACAAUGUUUUGUUCUUUCCUUUCAAAACCUGUGCAAGCUAAAUGAAUGAGGAAAGAGUUAGAAAAUUGAGUAUGUACUGUCAGAUUUGUUGGUGGAUUUGUCACUCUAACUAUAUAUUUCGGCAUUUUGAGAUAGAAUUUUGAUUUUGAUGAUUGUAUUGUCAUAUUUGGGUUUAGAAACUUUUAUGUUUACAUAUAAUCUUGGCUCAAAUUAUCACAUUGUUCUCAUUAAA